rnacentral:tRNA from 1 species
GCCGGCGUGGCGGAAUUGGCAGACGCGCACGACUCAAAAUCGUGUUCCUUCGGGAGUGUGGGUUCGAGACCCUCCGCCGGUA